CCUUCGAUAGCUCAGUUGGUAGAGCGGUGGACUGUAGAGGGUGAACACACACACACACGAUAGAGAGAAAUCCAUAGGUCGCUGGUUCAAAUCCGGCUCGAAGGA
rnacentral:tRNA from 1 species